rnacentral:rRNA from 1 species
UACGGGGGGGGGCAAGCGUUUGUUCGGGAAUUACUGGGCGUAAAGCGCGUGUAGGCGGCUCUUCAAGUCGAGUGUGAAAGCUCCAGGCUUAACCUGGGAAUUGCGCUCGAUACUGUUGAGCUAGAGUGUGGAAGGGGCAACUGGAAUUCUCGGUGUAGCGGUGAAAUGCGUAGAUAUCGAGAGGAACACCUGCGGCGAAGGCGGGUGCUGGGCUGACACUGACGCUGAUGCGCGAAAGCUAGGGGAGCGAACGGGG